AUGACUAACCCUAACCCUACUACUAAUAGCCUUUAUGAGUCUUGUGGUGAUGCAGGAAGAAUUCGUGAAGAAAUCAUCGAAAAUAGCGAAGAAAAUACGGCAGCAGAUCCAUAUUUUAUGUGCCCUAAGCUGGGGAGCAAAUCUCCCUUGGGAUCUGCCCAGGAGCUGCCGUGCAGCCAAUCCACCUUGGGAUCGAUGCCCCGCAGCGAUCCUGCCGCGACAGCUCCGACAGCUGCCGGUGGGCACGCUGAGCCGCCCGCGUCAGCCACGCGGCAGAAUCCGGAUGGCCGCGGCGACUCCCCUCGUCCACACCAAUCACCGUCCAGCAGAUGCAGGCUAGUGCUGGCCUGGGCCGUGCGUGACCUGGGGCCCAACCAGUCGUCUACAAGCGGCGGGCAGCGACUCGCCGGGCUGAGGCGGGGACAUAUCCGGACGAGGCUGGAUCGGGGGGAGAUCAGCCAGAUCCAGGCGUGGGAUCCUCUGCGUCGGGGCUCUCUGUAG
rnacentral:rRNA from 1 species